AAACGUUAAAAACGAAACAGAAAAAGCUCGUCUAGGGUUCAUCCCGCUAACCGUCUCUUUCGCAUUCCAAUCCUUCUGAGCACUUAUUCUCAGCAUCCUCAAUUUUGCUCCUAGGGUUAGGGUUAGGGUUUAGCCCCUUACUUGUGGUGCAGUGGUGGAGAGAAGUUAGCUCAAUCGGAUUACUCUUCUUCCUCCGCGGCAACACGCAAGUAAAUCUUGAAUUUGGCGUAAUCUAAUUGGUGCAGACGGAAUAAUUUUGGGUGGAUUUGAUUGAAGAUUAAAAACGAGGAAGGAGUUACUGAAAGAUGUAUGGUGGGCAAGGGAACUAUGCUCCACAGUUCAGGCAGCCUUUGCCGCCGCCGCCACCACCACCGCAACCUCCUCCGAGUUACCAGCAAGCUUAUUCUGGUCCAGCUCUCCCUUUCCUGCAAGCUCCUCCUGGCCCUAUACUUCAACCAGUUCCUCAAGCACCCACGUAUUUUAACCGAGUGGUGGCUUCUCAGGCACAGCCUGCCCAAUUCCCCCACCCUCCUCCUGUGAGUUCCACACAGACUUAUAUGCAGCUGCCACCACCACCGCCGUUACCACCACCACCGCCGCCACCACCACUCCAAACUCAUGCAAAUGGAAGUACACCUGGAGUCCCUCCUUAUCCACUGGCUGGGCUCCCUCUACCCAUGCCAUUACCACCGCCUCCUAGGAUGCUGCAGCCCACAUCAGUGCCUAACUCGCAGCCCCAAGGACAAGUGUUUUACCACACCCUUCAUCCACCCCUUCCCGGGAUUGUUAAUGCUUCUACCCAGCCUCCAUGGCCUACUAAUGCGCCAAACCCACCUCCUCCACAUCCUAAUUUUGAAUUGACAAUCCCCACACCUUUCACAGGGAAGAAUUCUGUAAUAGAUGCCCAUCCACCUGCAAUUCCACCCCCGCCACCACCUCCACCUCCCCCACCACCAUCAUCUCCUCCACCACUUCCACCGUCACCUCCUGCCCCAAUCCCUGCAUUAGAUGUCUUUCAGAAUGAUUCCCUGCAAGUUCUUGCUACAAAUUCUAAGGCUGAUUCAAGUGCACUUGAGCUUGAUAAUGCUCCAGUUCAUCUUGCUGAUGUUAGUGAAGGUUCUAGAGAAGGGAACAAGGGUCCUUUGGUUGAUGGAGAAGCUUCUGAGAAUCUUGCAUUGCCUCCACCUAGGCCAGAUGAAGGUGUCGUUCGAAGCAUCGAGGUCUUGUGUCAGUUCAUUGCGAAGGUUGGGCCUGAUUUUGAGAACAUUGCUCGAUCAAAGGAGGCUGGAAAUCCACAUUUUACCUUCUUGUUCGGUGGUGAACCUGGCAGUGCAGCUGCCAUCGGGCAUGAAUAUUUUCAGUGGGUGAAAAAGAAAUAUCUUGCGGUAAUGGAGUCUCCUAAGGGUCUCAAGCCCAAGGUUUUACCUAUAAGUACUUUGACCGCUGAUGAUUCUUCCCAAUCUGGAAACUUGGAUUGUGUUGAUGGGGUACAUUCACCUGCGACAUCAGACAUGGAGAUGGAGGAUGACAUUACUCUAGCUGACAUAGGUAAAGGUAUCAGCAAUACGAAUGAAGAAUCUGCUGUUUCUACUCAUGAGGGUUCUUAUGCAUCUGAGAAUGUAGAAAAGCAAAUCCAUGCUAUGAUUCCAGUGGCCAGUGGGGCAUCUUCUCCUACUUUAUCUCUUAUGGAUGCUGAAGAUGAGAAAGAGUCCUCAGUUUUUGAAGAUGUUAGUCCAGAGAGGGGCUCGCCUGAUAUUGCUGGCCUAGAUGACAGAACACACGCAUCAAGCAGGUUCCCUACUGAAGAUUCAAUUGAAGGGAAGGUUCUGUUGAAUACUGAAGAUGUUAAAUCUCAGGAGACGUCAGGGAUGUUUCUUAAAUAUGGAAGCCCUUUCCGUUUGAUACAGGAUUAUGCUUCAGAUGAAAGUGAUGAAAAUGUUAGAAGUGAUAAUGAUGAAGACUUCAACCCUAUUAGUCCUUCUCUAGCCCCUACAACAGGCACUUCAAGUUUGCAGCAAGACAGGCUAUCUGAGUUAUGUUCAAAUUUUGGUGGUCAAGGUUCUGCUGCAGUUGCAAUUGAAUCUGUAGACAACACUACUUUGUGUGAGCUUUUGCCUUCAAUACCACAAGGAGCUGGUAGAUCUCCAGACAAAUCAUCACCAUCGAACAGCAUCAGCCACUUUGAUACAAUGAGCAAAACCAUAGAUCCUGAUAAUCAUCCAGUUGAAAAUUUGUCUAACGAUGGAAGAGAAACAUCCAGGCCUUCUCCUGAAUAUGAUGCAUUGGAAGGAAGAAAAAUGGAUGCUGAUCAGGAAACUUUGGAGUUUCAUUCAAAAGAGAGUUUAAUGGAGAAGCAGGCUUCACAUGAUGUAGACGAAUUUGGGCGUUUGAUAAGAAAAGGUGUGAGUGGUAGUGACUCUGAUGAGAGUCAAUAUAGUAAGAAGCACAUUAAAAGAGGUAGGAGUAGGAGUCGGAGCCUCAGCAGGUCACCACAGGGUGGUAGGAGGAAGCAUAGGAGCCGCAGUCUAAGGAGAAGAGAUACGCGAAGUCAUUCGCACAGCUGGUCCCCCAAAAGAGGGAGAAGCAAGUCUCCCCCAUCAUUCAGGACUAAUAUGUCUGCAAGGCGCGGUCGAGACCAGCUUCCUGAAUGUUUGAACUUCAAUCGUGGCAGAUGUUUUCGUGGAGCAUCUUGUCGGUUCCUCCAUCGUGAUUUCAGACUACAGCCGUACAUGCCAAGACGCUAUCAAGAUCCACGAAAGCAUCGAUAUCUUGAUAGUUCCGAUGAUGCAUCCUUGUCGAGUAUUAGCCGUAAUGAUAAUGCUGGUACUCCUGAAUUGCAAGCUGAAAAGAGCAACAAAUUAAUUGAGGCAAGAGAUUAUGAGAAACAUGUUUACAAGGAGCAGUAUGAUACUGGAAUUGGGAAUGCUUCUCUGAAGUUAUCAGAUGGAAAGGAUGAAUUAGCACCAACAUCAGAAACCGAGGAUGCUGCAAACCAGGUAUCUCAGGAAAUGAAUGGCAGCAGGGAGCUGGAACUGCCCGUUGAGCGCAUCCUUCUCUCUCUUGAGGGCGAGAGCACUAAGCUGCAAAUGGAAUCCUCUGAAUCCAAACAAGUUGACCAUGCUAUUUUUGAACAGCCUAGCUCAGGUGAAGCUGUUUCGUUUCAACCUUCUCAGCUCACCACUCAAGUCAAUAUCUCAGAAGCUGAAAAGUCUAGUGAGCAUGCUCAUGCAUUGGCAUCUUCUGCGUCGCAUCCCUUACCUGUUCAAACAAGUCACUCUGCAAAUGAUUCUAUUCAGCCCUUAACAUGUCAGAUGAAUGUGGGUGAAAAUAUUGCAGCGGAGGCAACAACAGGCCAAAAUAAUGCCACUCCUACACACUCGCAAAAUGUUGCCCCAACAAAACCACUGGUUCAACCUCUCCAUGAAGAAUCUUCACCGCACUUUUUGACAUCUGGAGCAAACUUUCAGCCCCCUCAACCAUUUCCUCCUGUACCACAGGGACAGCGCCCAAUGCACAUUCUUAAUGAUAAUUUGAAUGGUCCAUUUUCUUCACAGCAUUUUAAAGAAAAUGUCAUGCCGCCAAUUAGCUACCAAUCCCAGCUACCACAAUCUCAUAUGCUUUAUCCCCCGCCACCUCCUUUGCCUAGCAAUUUUCUUCCUAAUAAUGCACUUCAACCAAACCUUACAUGGUCUGAUCUAAACCCCACAACACCUCAAAAUAUGUUUACAUUGCUGAGCAGGCCACCUUUUCCUUCUUCUGAACCCACCCAUAUGCACCAGCCUAAUGCAAUGCCACCGAGAAAUUCUUUCAUGCCUUCUGUCAGGCCCUAUCCAUCUGGAGAGAUUCCUGGUUCACGACCAUCCGACUUUUAUCCCCCGUCUUUCUAUUCAAUGUCAUCCGGCCAUCCUCCACGACCUCAACCUUUUCCAAAUGAACAAGGUAUGAUUCAAGUACAGAACCAGGGGCUCAACCCCUCUAGUUCUUUGCCUUUGCUAAGGCCCUUCCAAGGAGAAGAAAUUUCUAUGCCACGCAUAAGAGAUGUUCAUCAUUCUCAUCAACCAUCACUUUAUAACCAAGAAACCCACCCUGCAGCUGCUAAUUUACCUGCAAGGUUUGGCACAGCAGGCUCUACGAAUCCUUCUAUACAGAGAUACCCGGAUAACUACUUCCAACCACAGCCCUCUGAUGCUGGUUUACCUAUAUUUCCUACCAGGGAACGUUUCAACCCAUAUGCUUCCAUCUUUGAACAUCCACUUAGAAGCCCUGGCAUUCCUGGUCCAGAGAUCAGAAGAUUUGAUUCUGCACUCAGUGCGGAUAAUGUUCCCAUUGUCGGUAUUGGCUUUGGGAUGAGACCAUCCCCCAGCAGUACAAGGAGAUUGGCUGAGCAGUUUCCGCCAAAAAUUGGGAGUUACCCACAUGAAUCUUUUGCAGAAGUGACACCGGAUUCGAAAACGCAGUUGGUUCGGGAACCAGUGGCUGGUGCUCCAUAUGAUCCUCUCUUUGAUAGCAUUGAACAAUCUUCCGACACAUCGAAGAUGCGUGUUGAGGAACAGAAUUCAGGGAUCAAUGACACAGGCAGUGCAUCAAAAUUGAACCUGCACAAGCCUGCCAAGUUUGGGAGUAAGAAGCGUAGAAGGGGAUCAGUUACUGAGCUGAAGGCUGAAGUUGAUGAAUUGGGUGAGGUAGCAACAGAUGCAGAUGCUGGUGGCGUUGAGAAUGAGAGCCCUCAGCUUCUCGAUAAAGAUUGGAGUCCAGGAAUUCAUUUUGAUGAGGGUGAAACAAAUGUGGGUGAGAUUGAGAUCAAUCAGAUCCGGUCACCUAGUAAAAGUAAAAAGAAUAGAGAUUCGAGGUCAAUGAGGCUUUUCAAGAUUGCCCUUGCAGAUUUUGCGAAGGAAGUGCUCAAGCCCUCUUGGCGUCAGGGGAAUCUAAGCAAAGAGGCAUUUAAGACCAUCGUGAAGAAAACUGUUGAUAAGGUGGCUGGAGCAGUACCAAGUCAUCAUAUACCCAAGUCACAAGUAAAGAUCAAUCAGUAUGUGGAUUCAUCUCAACGCAAAUUGACUAAGCUGGUGAUGGGCUAUGUUGACAAAUAUGUCAAGAUGUGAACUAAGGCAGUUAAUGUUACUGCUCAACCAAUCUAGAUUCCUCACUGAUGAUCCUUAUCUGCCAUUCAUUUAGAUCUGCUGCAGCAUGAAAUCUGAUUUUGAGAAAGGUAGCAAAACCUUGCCAUGAAGUUUGUUCUCAUUAACUGAAUCUAUUUCGCAGCAGCUUUUCCACAUUGGGUGUUUUAGCUGACCAGAUUUGUAUAUGGCAGUACGAAAUAACAAUCUGCAUGUGAACUUUAGAAAGGAUAAGAGUUUGAAACUUUUUGUAGCUGCAACUGUUCUUGAUUGAUUCAUGGUGUUGUGAUUAGGAGCUGCUGAGCUGUUGUCAACAAUGUAAAGAUCUUCAGAAAUGGUAAAAGAAAGAUCUGUUCCUGGAUCCAUCCUUAAAACUUCAGUGGAUAGGUGAUUCUAUGUACACUUGAACUUUCUGGAACUUUCUAGAAUCUAUGCUUGUUUUUAGUUUUAGUUAGGCUCAUAGGGUGUGAUCUGUGAUGUGUUAAACCAGAUUUUUUUCAUCUAUAAAUGUUUGCAUUGAAUGAGCUCUUCAAGUUCAGGUGCAGCAUGCCUAUUUUUAUUUUA